GGGGAUAUAGCUCAGUUGGUAGAGUGCUUGCCUUGCAUGCAUGAGGUCCCGGGUUCAAUCCCUGGCACCA
rnacentral:tRNA from 1 species